rnacentral:misc_RNA from 1 species
GAUGAAGAACGUAGUGAAAUGCGAUAAGUAAUGUGAAUUGCAGAAUUCAGUGAAUCAUCGAAUCUUUGAACGCACAUUGCGCCCGCCAGUAUUCUGGCGGGCAUGCCUGUUCGAGCGUCAUUUCAACCAUCAAGCCCCGGGCUUGUGUUGGGGACCUGCGGCUGCCGCAGGCCCUGAAAUGCAGUGGCGGGCUCGCUGUCACUCCGAGCGUAGUAGUUACAUCUCGCUCUGGGCGUGCUGCGGGUUCCGGCCGUUAAACCACCUUCAUAACCCAAGGUUGACCUCGGAUCAGGUAGGAAGACCCGCUGAACUUAAGCAUAUCAAUAAGCGGAGGA